rnacentral:rRNA from 1 species
GCUCACACCGGUUUAAACUCAGAUCAUGUAAAAUUUUAUAGGUCGAACAGACCUCCCCUACUAGCUACUGCACCAGUAGUAUAUUUUAAUCCAACAUCGAGGUCGCAACCCCUUCUUUUGAUACGAACUCUAAGAAAGAUCACGCUGUUAUCCCUAAGGUAGUUUCAUCUUAUAAUCUAAACACUAGGAUCAUACAUCUACACAUUAGUAUUACUAGAAAAAAAAGUUACUUAAAUUUCUUAAUCGCCCCAAUUAAACAUGCCUUAAAAUUUUUAAUAUAAAUUCCAUACACCUAUAACUCCAGUACAUGUAAAACUCUAUAGGGUCUUCUCGUCUUCUAUAUUAAUUUAAGCUUUUUCACUUAAAAAUAAAUUUCUAGAAAAUUUCCUAAGAGACAGUUACUUUCUCAUCAAACCUUUCAUUCAAGCUUUAAAUUAAAAAACUAGUGAUUAUGCUACCUUUGCACGGUCAAAAUACCGCGGCCAUUCAACUAUCAUCGGGCAGGCCGAACUUGAAAUCAUACUCAUCAAGC